UUCAACGAUCAUACCAUGUUGAAUACACCAGUUCUCGUCCGAUCACUGAAGUUAAGUAACAUCGGGCGCGAUUAGUAGGGUAAAUGUACCAAUAGUGGUGCUAUUAGUGGCU
rnacentral:rRNA from 2 species